CAAGAAAAAAGCAGCUAAGUAAAGAAAAACGAGUGUCCAUCAUUACUUUAAGAAAUGAAGGUCAGUCUGUCCGAAAAAUUGGGAAAACUUUGAAAGUGUCCCCAAGUGCAGUCACAAAAACCAUCAAGCGCUACAAAGAAACUGGCUCACAUGCGGACCGCCCCAGGAAAGGAAGACCAAGAGUCACCUCUGCUGCGGAGAAUAAGUUCAUCCGAGUCACCAGCCUCAGAAAUCGCAGGUUAACAGCAGCUCAGAUUAGAGACCAGGUCAAUGCCACACAGAGUUCUAGCAGCAGACACAUCUCUAGAACAACUGUUAAGAGAAGACUGUGUGAAUCAGGCCUUCAUGGUUGAAUAUCUGCUAGGAAACCACUGCUAAGGACAGGCAACAAGCAGAAGAGACUUGUUUGGGCUAAAGAACACAAGGAAUGGACAUUAGACCAGUGGAAAUCUGUGCUUUGGUCUGAUGAGUCCAAAUUUGAGAUCUUUGGUUCCAACCACCGUGUCUU